rnacentral:lncRNA from 10 species
CAUCACCGUGAUGCCUAUUUAAUUUGUUAACUUUCCAGAAUGAGUGGAAGCUCUAUGAGGUCAGGGAGCAUGUCUGCCUUGGUCUUAGGACCCUGCUGGGCUACAUACUCACCCCAUGACCAAAGGCAAGUGGGACCUCUGGGCCUCAGUUUCCUCACCUCUCAGGGGUUUGAGCUAAAUAAUCCCUAAGCCCUCCUCAUAGUGGGUGCAGCUCUACAGCAAGGAGCAAGGCGUGGUGAGUAGGAGAUGAGCUGGAUGUCAGCACCCACUGGGCCCAGGCUCCAGGUAACCUGCACAACUGUAUUGGUUGGCUCUGGUUGGAUCAAUCACUCCAUCCAGAGAGCAGUGACCCACUUCUCCUGACCUCUGGCUCAGCUUCCAAGACACCAGGCUGCUUUUCUGCUCUACUACCAGCUACUCCCUCUAACUACAGCUGCUCCAUGAGGUAGAUAAGCCCCUGUGUCUCUAAUGGCACAGUGCCCCAUGCAACCCAAACACAGACCCCCAGGAGAGAGAAGCCAGGGAGGUCCUGUUUCUUCCAGGCCAUGACCUUUUAAAGUCCUUCAGCAUUAAUUCUCUGAGAUUUGUAAAAAUUAAGUCAAGGGAGGAAGCACAAAGUUGCUGCAAAGAGCUGGAUUCAGGGGAUAAUGUCUAAUAAUCAGUUUUCUCCAUAAUAAUUAUUGUAAAAACAACAUGUUAUUAACUUUGUGGUUACUCCCUUACUCUGACAACAACUCUUAAAGAAGGGUAUUAUCAUCCCUCUUUUAGAGCAGGAAAUGGAGUUUCAGAGACGUGAAUCAGUUAGCUCAAAGCCAUGCUGCUAGUGAAUGGCAGGGACAGGUUUUGAGUCUCCUGACUGCAAACACGGUACUCAACCCUCAUGGCCUGC